CAACUGUUAGCUUCUGAAU
rnacentral:snRNA from 1 species